GAUGAACGCUGGCGGCGUGCCUAAUACAUGCAAGUCGAGCGAACAGAUGAGGAGCUUGCUCCUCUGACGUUAGCGGCGGACGGGUGAGUAACACGUGGAUAACCUACCUAUAAGACUGGGAUAACUUCGGGAAACCGGAGCUAAUACCGGAUAAUAUAUUGAACCGCAUGGUUCAAUAGUGAAAGACGGUUUUGCUGUCACUUAUAGAUGGAUCCGCGCCGCAUUAGCUAGUUGGUAAGGUAACGGCUUACCAAGGCAACGAUGCGUAGACGACCUGAGAGGGUGAUAGGCCACACUGGAACUGGGACACGGUCCAGACUCCUACGGGAGGCAGCAGUAGGGAAUCUUCCGCAAUGGGCGAAAGCCUGACGGAGCAACGCCGCGUGAGUGAUGAAGGUCUUCGGAUCGUAAAACUCUGUUAUUAGGGAAGAACAAAUGUGUAAGUAACUAUGCACGUCUUGACGGUACCUAAUCAGAAAGCCACGGCUAACUACGUG
rnacentral:rRNA from 1 species